CUAGCUACUUUUUCAAUGGCUUUUUGUGGACAUUAUCAGAAGCACUGGACGCUUUUUCGUUCAACAUGUGCAAUUGCAACGACUGGCCAAACAAAUAAGGAGCGCCCCCUUUAUGGCAACUGUAUACCGGACAUUCUGUCCACAUCAGGAAGAGAAGAGGCACAUUGAGAGACCGAGAGAGGAGCAGUAAUCUGUUACAUGUGAAGGAAUGGUGUAUGUUGAGCUAAAAACACCUCUGCGACGUGAAGUAUUCGGUAAUAGUUUGACACUGAUGCUACUGCGAUGGAGCAACUAGGAGUUUUAUGAAAUGCGUUGAAUGGAUGUGGAAUUGUUAGCUGCUACUGCAAAGCUGUCAACAGCGAUAUUUAUGCAUUGCACAAUAACUGAUGGGUUCAAGAUAGAGACGGCAACAUGCGGAGCCGCAGUAACUCAGGUGUGAAGCUCGAUGGAUUCGCCAGGCUCGUUCAUGAGACUAUUCUAUGU